UACACUAUCAGUUAGAACCUAUAUAGUUGCAUUUGGAUAACAAACUCAAAUCAAGUCAUUUUCGGAUAGCUGAUAAAGGGAACAAAUAGCUUGUAACACGGUGAUACCACAGAGUGAGGACUUUCUAAGUCAAUGUUGAACUGAAAGAAACUCAAAUCUUGAGGCCUAUAAAAUAAUGGUGUUCCGUUUUCCUACUCUACAUUAAGAAAAUCCAUUUCAUUAUCUGGAUUAUUUUUCAUAUAUUGCAUAACCAUAAAUAAUGCCAAGGUCAGGUAGUUCUGUCAUAGUAUUUUGGGAUCCAGAUGCAUGCUUUCCUCCACAAAAUACAUGGUAACAGCAAGCCGUGAACAACUACCAUUAAUGAAACUUCUUCAUACCCGAAAAUACACGGUAAAAAAAGAAAUAUUUACACUAGAUCAUAACAAAAGAUACCCAAACUCCCUAAUUCCAGAUAGAGCAGUCUUAUGUAUGUUAAUCAAAGCCUCAUCACCAAAUAAUGCUCCAGUCUUCAGUUGUUGGCAAAUUUAUCACACAAAUAUGUACUGUCAAGACCUUCAAUUUUGAACAAAAACGAACUAGUAGAUGCACAAAUACUCCAACAAUUUAACGCACUUCCUUCACGAAUCAAUUCGAAAUGGCAAUUCUUAGCAGUCAGGCCAUUGUACUUACUGGUAAGCUUCAUUUCAAGUCAAAUCAGUGCUCUAGCAGAUGAAUCAAUUCAAAAAUCUACACAACAAACACAAACAUUUUUAGGAUACUUUUCUCACCAUAUAAUUUCAUGAAGCCCAUUGAAAUCUUAAACUUAUCAUACAAAUGGCAUGAAAACCAUUCACCGCUUGAGUCAAGUUGAAAUCCUGACCUCAGGAUGAACAUUUUGCAACCUUGCACAACUUACAUAGCACAUCCCAAGGUUUAGUUUGGCGGCUCACCACAAGUCAUGAAAAAUAUGACAAAAUUCCACAAAAAAGAAUUGCUAGUAUUGGGAUUCCAUUUCCUACGUAGACAAAAUACUAAGCAGAACAGGAAGUGUCACUGUAAAUAAAAAUGUUAACAAAGAAAAAGUAAUUUGCUGAAAGAUCCGAGAAAUGGCGAAAUCUUUGAUUGAACAAAAAGAAUUACAAAUUUCAGCGGUCAGAUUUCAAAAUACUUCAACUGUAACCAACUAUCAUUUUACACCACUAAACCGUUGAACAUGUUAUGAACCAGUCCAAUCCCUGGGCCGAUACCUACAGGGAUGUACAUGAGCAACUUAGCCUUAUUAAAAGUCCCACAUCCGUGGUAGUUAAUGAGAUGGGUGGACUCCUUGUAAGGAUUGGACAAUCUAGCUUUUAGCGGUGUGAAUUAGGCGGCCUAAUUCAACAAAUAUAGUUGAGAAACUGGUUAGAGUCAUCAAUGGAGAUAUUUUACCUAUCUUAGCUUCUCCUAGAUGGACUGACUACCUCUUCCUUCCUUUUAUUUUAUUUUGAUAGUGAAGCUGUUAUUUGGUUCGAUUGGUUGUUUCGCAACAAAGGAUUAUCUUCUAUGGUUGGAACCAUUUCACGGUGGAAUUGCUUUUUGCGAUUUGGAGAAUGGAGCCUCACAAGUUGAACAAAGAAUGUGGCCUGUUUUGACUCAAUAGCUCCUCCGGAAGUUCUUUAUGAUGCAAUUGAAUCUAAUUUAGCCAAUGUAAAACAAGAGGAGGCUGCAGAGAUCUUUGAUUGCACUAUUGGUGUUAAUUGGUAGCAAUUUUGAUGGGAUACACCACUGGAAAUUAAAAUUGAUGAGGAGAGGAGGAGUAUUCAAGAAACUUUGCAUGUAAGGUGUUUGCUGAAAUACCCCAAAGAGAAAUUGACAUGGACUUUAAACAUUCAAUGCCAAACGUCACCCAGGUGUUCGAGGAAAAGUCUCAUAACUGCUGCUCUAAAGUACUCGCUGAAGAACCGGAUACUCCUCUAGUCUAUGGUGCCAAAAAGACUAUUGUUACAUCUAGUCGUUUUCUUUCUACUAAGCACUGCAACAUUACCAUUUUGAAAAUUUUAGAAGUGCCCUGGAAAUUUUCUUAGCACCCAAUCCAGUUAUUCUAGUGCGACAGAUUGGGAUAAAGCAGAGGAAUUCGCUACUUGAAGACAUUGGUUCAAAUAGUGUUGAUAUUAUUGAACUUGAGAAAGCCAGGCAAUGGAAUGGUCAUAAGCUUAUCCCUUCAGAGAAUUGUACAUCUUUGUCAGUGAUGUUAGUAGUAAGAUCAAUAUUGCCCAUCAUAUUUAAUGAAAGGCAUCGUCGCACAAGAUACUACAGAGGAGACAAGUACAUUGACAUGAUAGCAAAACUAAUGUGAUGACAAUGUUUUACAAGUUUUUUAAAUUUGAUCCUGCCACAUGGAGACGCAAUGUUCAGUUAUUAACUAGAUCCCUCAUAAACUUUCGAGUGUCUAUUGCUCUACUGGAUGUAAGACCGGAUGUUUGCCUUUGUUGUAACCAAAUUGUUUCAGUUUACAAGUGCUCCAACAACUACAGAUUCCUCAUGUUUGUUUCUUCGUAAAGGCAAGUCACUAAAUCGGCCUAACUUCUCAGACUCAGACUGGGUCGGUAAUCAUGAUGAUGAUCACUCUUCUACUACAGCAUACGUUGUGUUUUUUUUAGGCUCCAAUCUGAUCUCAUGAAGUUCUAAGAAGCAAAGAGUUGUUGCUCGCUCAUCCACAUAAGUUGAAUAUCGUGCCAUUGCUUCAGCGUCAACUGAAAGUUCCGAAUUGAUGGAACAAAAAGAGUUACGAAUUUCACCAGAGUCCCAUAAUACUAAUGCUAUGCCAUCAAGAAAGAGGAUGAACGGGUCCACCAAACGAGUACAAGUUGCUACUCCUCGUAGAAAAGCAGAGCCACAAAGGUUUCAAGAAGAUGGAGAGUGAUCAUCACACAGAAAAGAAGAGACAAGGAGGAGCACAAAAGACCCCUUCCCAAUGCAGGAGAAAAGAGUGCACCACUGGUUCAACAAAGACGAAUGUGGCCACCAAGCCUAUACAAGUUGUGAAAUCGAUGCAAAAAGGAACACAAACCAUCAAUGAUAUGAAGAGAAAGUUUGAAUCAAGAAGAUGAUGUUGUUGGGGUAAGAGGAGGUUUUGAUAUUCCAAUGGUUUAAUCUGUUGUAAAUUUCACAACAGAAUUCUUAUUUUGGUCUUAUAAAUUGUGGACAGGAAGUAUCCUAUAUGUGAAUUAUCUCAAUCAUUGAAAUAA